ACGCUGGCGGCGUGCCUAAUACAUGCAAGUCGAGCGAGCUGAACUCAAAGAUCCCUUCGGGGUGAUUUGUUGGACGCUAGCGGCGGAUGGGUGAGUAACACGUGGGCAAUCUGCCCUAAAGACUGGGAUACCACUUGGAAACAGGUGCUAAUACCGGAUAACAACAUGAAUCGCAUGAUUCAAGUUUGAAAGGCGGCGUAAGCUGUCACUUUAGGAUGAGCCCGCGGCGCAUUAGCUAGUUGGUGGGGUAAAGGCCUACCAAGGCAAUGAUGCGUAGCCGAGUUGAGAGACUGAUCGGCCACAUUGGGACUGAGACACGGCCCAAACUCCUACGGGAGGCAGCAGUAGGGAAUCUUCCACAAUGGACGCAAGUCUGAUGGAGCAACGCCGCGUGAGUGAAGAAGGUUUUCGGAUCGUAAAGCUCUGUUGUUGGUGAAGAAGGAUAGAGGCAGUAACUGGUCUUUAUUUGACGGUAAUCAACCAGAAAGUCACGGCUAACUACGUGCCAGCAGCCGCGGUAAUACGUAGGUGGCAAGCGUUGUCCGGAUUUAUUGGGCGUAAAGCGAGCGCAGGCGGAAUGAUAAGUCUGAUGUGAAAGCCCACGGCUCAACCGUGGAACUGCGUCGGAAACUGUCAUUCUUGAGUGCAGAAGAGGAGAGUGGAACUCCAUGUGUAGCGGUGGAAUGCGUAGAUAUAUGGAAGAACACCAGUGGCGAAGGCGGCUCUCUGGUCUGCAACUGACGCUGAGGCUCGAAAGCAUGGGUAGCGAACAGGAUUAGAUACCCUGGUAGUCCAUGCCGUAAACGAUGAGCGCUAGGUGUUGGGGACUUUCCGGUCCUCAGUGCCGCAGCAAACGCAUUAAGCGCUCCGCCUGGGGAGUACGACCGCAAGGUUGAAACUCAAAGGAAUU
rnacentral:rRNA from 1 species